AUCCCAGAUACAACUUCAUUCCAGCGUUUAUCUGAUUCAUGGGAGACCAAAAUUAAAGAUGGAAGCUUCGCUGAUAGUGCCUCCUUUUUGUUUUCUGGAAGGUGUUUUAAUAGUAACUUGCUGAACACUA